CCUACGGGUGGCAGCAGUGAGGAAUAUUGGUCAAUGGACGAGAGUCUGAACCAGCCAAGUAGCGUGAAGGAUGACUGCCCUAUGGGUUGUAAACUUCUUUUAUAUGGGAAUAAAACGUUCCACGUGUGGGAUUUUGUAUGUACCAUAUGAAUAAGGAUCGGCUAACUCCGUGCCAGCAGCCGCGGUAAUACGGAGGAUCCGAGCGUUAUCCGGAUUUAUUGGGUUUAAAGGGAGCGUAGGUGGAUUGUUAAGUCAGUUGUGAAAGUUUGCGGCUCAACCGUAAAAUUGCAGUUGAAACUGGCAGUCUUGAGUACAGUAGAGGUGGGCGGAAUUCGUGGUGUAGCGGUGAAAUGCUUAGAUAUCACGAAGAACUCCGAUUGCGAAGGCAGUUCACUGGACUGCAACUGACACUGAGGCUCGAAAGUGUGGGUAUCAAACAGGAUUAGAACCCUAUAGUC
rnacentral:rRNA from 1 species